rnacentral:misc_RNA from 1 species
AAGUCGUAACAAGGUCUCCGUUGGUGAACCAGCGGAGGGAUCAUUACAGAGUUGCAAAACUCCCUAAACCAUUGUGAACGUUACCUAAACCGUUGCUUCGGCGGGCGGCCCGGGUCCUUCCCGGCGCCCCUCGGCCCUCGCGGGCGCCCGCCGGAGGUAAACCAAACUAUUGCAUUGUAUGGCCUCUCUGAGUCUUCUGUACUGAAUAAGUCAAAACUUUCAACAACGGAUCUCUUGGUUCUG